rnacentral:rRNA from 1 species
AGUGAGCGCUGGCGGUAGGCCUAACACAUGCAAGUUGAACGGCAGCACAGUAAGAGCUUGCUCUUACGGGUGGCGAGUGGCGGACGGGUGAGGAAUACAUCGGAAUCUACUUUUUCGUGGGGGAUAACGUAGGGAAACUUACGCUAAUACCGCAUACGACCUACGGGUGAAAGCAGGGGAUCUUCGGACCUUGCGCGAUUGAAUGAGCCGAUGUCGGAUUAGCUAGUUGGCGGGGUAAAGGCCCACCAAGGCGACGAUCCGUAGCUGGUCUGAGAGGAUGAUCAGCCACACUGGAACUGAGACACGGUCCAGACUCCUACGGGAGGCAGCAGUGGGGAAUAUUGGACAAUGGGCGCAAGCCUGAUCCAGCCAUACCGCGUGGGUGAAGAAGGCCUUCGGGUUGUAAAGCCCUUUUGUUGGGAAAGAAAAGCAGCAGGUUAAUACCCCGCUGUUCUGACGGUACCCAAAGAAUAAGCACCGGCUAACUUCGUG